GGAACUUAAGGGUUCAGUUCGGGCUGGAUCGGUGACAGGUGCUGCAUGGCUGUCGUCAGCUCGUGUCGUGAGAUGUGGUUAAGUCCCGCAACGAGCGCAACCCUCGUCCUUAGUUGCCAGCAUUAAGUUGGCCACUCUAAGGAGACUGCCGGUGUUAAACCGGAGGAAGGCGGGGAUGACGUCAAGUCAGCAUGGCCUUUAUAUCCUGGGCUACACACACGCUACAAUGGGAAGGGACAAUAGGUUGCGAAGCCGCGAGGCGGAGCCAAUCCAGCAAAACUUCCCUCAGUUCAGAUUGCAGGCUGCAACUCGCCUGCAUGAAGUUGGAGUUGCUAGUAAACGCAGGUCAGCCAUACUGCGUUGAAUACGUUCCCGGGGCUU
rnacentral:rRNA from 1 species